UACGGAGGGUCCAAGCGUUAUCCGGAAUCCUUGGGUUUAAAGGGUCCGUAGGCGGUUUUGUAAGUCAGUGGUGAAAGCCCAUCGCUCAACGGUGGAACGGCCAUUGAUACUGCAAGACUUGAAUUAUUGGGAAGUAACUAGAAUAUGUAGUGUAGCGGUGAAAUGCUUAGAGAUUACAUGGAAUACCAAUUGCGAAGGCAGGUUACUACCAAUAUAUUGACGCUGAUGGACGAAAGCGUGGGGAGCGAACAGG
rnacentral:rRNA from 1 species